rnacentral:rRNA from 1 species
AGAGUUUGAUCAUGGCUCAGGAUGAACGCUGGCGGCGUGCUUAACACAUGCAAGUCGAACGAACCUUCGGGUUAGUGGCGGACGGGUGAGUAACGCGUGGGAACCUGCCCUCAGGAGGGGGAUAACGGCUGGAAACGGCCGCUAAUACCCCAUAUGCCGAGAGGUGAAAUGAAAUUCGCCUGAGGAUGGGCCCGCGUCUGAUUAGCUAGUUGGUGGGGUAAGGGCCUACCAAGGCGACGAUCAGUAGCUGGUCUGAGAGGAUGAUCAGCCACACUGGGACUGAGACACGGCCCAGACUCCUACGGGAGGCAGCAGUGGGGAAUUUUCCGCAAUGGGCGAAAGCCUGACGGAGCAACGCCGCGUGAGGGAUGAAGGCCUCUGGGCUGUAAACCUCUUUUCUCAAGGAAGAAGACCUGACGGUACUUGAGGAAUAAGCCACGGCUAAUUCCGUGCCAGCAGCCGCGGUAAUACGGGAGUGGCAAGCGUUAUCCGGAAUUAUUGGGCGUAAAGCGUCCGCAGGCGGCCUUGUAAGUCUGUCGUUAAAGCGUGGAGCUUAACUCCAUUUAAGCGAUGGAAACUACAAGGCUUGAGUGUGGUAGGGGCAGAGGGAAUUCCCGGUGUAGCGGUGAAAUGCGUAGAUAUCGGGAAGAACACCAGUGGCGAAGGCGCUCUGCUGGGCCAUAACUGACGCUCAUGGACGAAAGCCAGGGGAGCGAAAGGGAUUAGAUACCCCUGUAGUCCUGGCCGUAAACGAUGAACACUAGGUGUCGGGGGAAUCGACCCCCUCGGUGUCGUAGCCAACGCGUUAAGUGUUCCGCCUGGGGAGUACGCACGCAAGUGUGAAACUCAAAGGAAUUGACGGGGGCCCGCACAAGCGGUGGAGUAUGUGGUUUAAUUCGAUGCAACGCGAAGAACCUUACCAGGGUUUGACAUCCUGCGAACCCCUGAGAAAUCGGGGGGUGCCUUCGGGAACGCAGAGACAGGUGGUGCAUGGCUGUCGUCAGCUCGUGUCGUGAGAUGUUGGGUUAAGUCCCGCAACGAGCGCAACCCACGUCUUUAGUUGCCAGCAUUCAGUUGGGCACUCUAGAGAGACCGCCGGUGAUAAACCGGAGGAAGGUGUGGAUGACGUCAAGUCAUCAUGCCCCUUACAUCCUGGGCUACACACGUACUACAAUGCUACGGACAAAGGGCAGCAAGCUCGCGAGAGCAAGCAAAUCCCAUAAACCGUGGCUCAGUUCAGAUCGUAGGCUGCAACUCGCCUACGUGAAGGAGGAAUCGCUAGUAAUCGCAGGUCAGCAUACUGCGGUGAAUACGUUCCCGGGCCUUGUACACACCGCCCGUCACACCAUGGAAGUUGGCCACGCCCGAAGUCGUUACUCCAACCCUUGUGGAGGAGGACGCCGAAGGUGGGGCCGAUGACUGGGGUGAAGUCGUAACAAGGUAACC